UACGUAGGGUGCAAGCGUUAAUCGGAAUUACUGGGCGUAAAGCGCGCGCAGGCGGUCUUUUAAGUCAGAUGUGAAAUCCCCGGGCUUAACCUGGGAACUGCGUUUGAAACUGGAAGGCUAGAGUGUGGCAGAGGGGGGUGGAAUUCCACGUGUAGCAGUGAAAUGCGUAGAGAUGUGGAGGAACACCGAUGGCGAAGGCAGCCCCCUGGGCUAACACUGACGCUCAUGCACGAAAGCGUGGGGAGCAAACAGG
rnacentral:rRNA from 1 species